rnacentral:rRNA from 1 species
GCCAGACUCCUACGGGAGGCAGCAGUGGGGAAUAUUGCACAAUGGGGGAAACCCUGAUGCAGCGACGCCGCGUGAGCGAAGAAGUACCUCGGUAUGUAAAGCUCUCUCAGCAGGGAAGGAGAUGACAGUACCUGACCAAGAAGCUCCGGCUAAAUACGUGCCAGCAGCCGCGGUAAUACGUAUGGAGCAAGCGUUAUCCGGAUUUACUGGGUGUAAAGGGAGCGCAGGUGGCCUUGCAAGUCUGAUGUGAAAGGCCGGGGCCCAACCCCGGGACUGCUCUUGGAACUGCGUGGCUGGAGUGCAGGAGGGGCAGGCGGAAUUCCUGGUGUAGCGGUGAAAUGCGUAGAUAUCAGGAGGAACACCGGUGGCGAAGGCGGCCUGCUGGACUGCAACUGACGUUGAGGCCCGAAAGCGUGGGGAGCAAACAGGAUUAGAUACCCCCGUAC